rnacentral:tRNA from 4 species
UCCGUACUGGUGUAUCGGUAACAUUUCCGCCUCUCACGCGGUAGCGCAGGGUUCGACUCCCUGGUACGGAA